AGCAGAUGCUUUUCUUUGAAAAGGUUUCAAUCUUUGUUCUCCAGCAGCCAACCCACUUGCAAAGAGUAUUUCCAAGGCUUGUUAUGCACAUGCAAGAUCCCGGCAACACUACAGAACUCACUGAAGAUGUGAAUGGUAUGGAAUCACUUCCCCAGCAGACUGAUCCUGCCUCCAUAAACUUGCCAUUAAAGGUUGGACUAAUAGAGAAGAGCCUGAGAACAGCUGCAAAUGCAUGUCUGUACUUGGG
rnacentral:lncRNA from 1 species